ACUCCUGCGGGAGGCAGCAGUGGGGAAUUUUGGACAAUGGGCGAAAGCCUGAUCCAGCAAUGCCGCGUGAGUGAAGAAGGCCUUCGGGUUGUAAAGCUCUUUUGUCAGGGAAGAAACGGUGAGAGCUAAUAUCUUUUGCUAAUGACGGUACCUGAAGAAUAAGCACCGGCUAACUACGUGCCAGCAGCCGCGGUAAUACGUAGGGUGCAAGCGUUAAUCGGAAUUACUGGGCGUAAAGCGUGCGCAGGCGGUUUUGUAAGUCUGAUGUGAAAUCCCCGGGCUCAACCUGGGAAUUGCAUUGGAGACUGCAAGGCUAGAAUCUGGCAGAGGGGGGUAGAAUUCCACGUGUAGCAGUGAAAUGCGUAGAUAUGUGGAGGAACACCGAUGGCGAAGGCAGCCCCCUGGGUCAAGAUUGACGCUCAUGCACGAAAGCGUGGGGAGCAAACAGGAUUAGAAACCCGGGUAGUCCC
rnacentral:rRNA from 1 species